CUUUUCUAAUAUUUUGUAAAAGCCGGGAAUGUUGGAAAAUUAAAAGAUCUCUCUACCCACAACAAUGGAUUCCUGAUACACUCUGGGUCUUGAAUGGAUUUGAAGUCAGAGGGUAAAUAAAACUUCUCAGGACUAGGUCAGUUUUAAGUUCUAAUGUAAUACAAUAUACAAAUCUUUUCACAUUUGCAGCAUCAAUAAUACAAAUAAGGUUUGAGAUCGGUGCAGUUUGCAGGCCAGUUUCCAUUUGCUGUUCUCUUAAUGAUCAGUUCUCACAGAUCAGGGAAGGGAGUGGUUUCUGCCUGAAAUACAUCCAUCUCCAUUCAUCUAUGUAGAAAACGUAAUUACGGAAACAUCCCUGAGGUGGUCAGGCUUAAAGCUUGCUGCUUUAACAGUGUGCAACUACAAGUGUCCACAGGACAAGAAUGGAGAUUUUAACAACGUUAAAAGCACUGAGUUGAUUGACCACUGGUUCAAAGAUGAGCUGGUUGGUCACUGCCAUAAAAUCAGAAAGGUCUUGCAGCUAGAGUGGAAUGGCUUUGCAUGGUUCGCUUAAUAGCUUCUCUGACUGCAGGUUGGUGUAACCUAGUAGGCAUUAAAGAUAAAGAGUUGCUGAUCAUUUGACUUAAUAAAAGAUGAAGAUUUA